UCCGAAGUUUGGGCUAGCAAAUUUCACUUGAGAAAAGAUGUAAUUAGUAUGUUCCAAAAUGGCUUGCAGUUUUAUGGAAUAUCAAACGAUAAUCCAAAUACUCACGUCUCGAGGUUUUUGGACAUGUGCAACACUAUUGAAUAUUUGACUAUUUCCAUAUGCAUUGCAAGACUCGGCUAGGAAGUAGCUUGUGUCAUGAAUUGGGCCAUUUAUCUUUUAUUUUGGUUAGUUGGGCUUGUAUUUUUAUUGGGCUAGCCCAAAGCCCUUUACUCUUAGGAUUGUUCUAUAUGAUUUUGUUGGGAUGAUGAACAAGGGUUAUGAAUGGAUGAAUUGAAUCCUGCCUUGCUACCAGUCAUCUUAAUUAUUCUUCUUCUCUUCCUCUCUGCUUUCUGUGUUUCUCCCUUUCUGGUAAGCUCCUUCUUCUUCUCUUCUUCCCUUUUCCUCUUUUUCUUCUCUUCUUUUUGUUUUUGUCUGCUCUCUUCUACUCUUAAUUUGUUCUUCAAUUCUCUGUUCUUAUCUAUCUACUAGUCUCCAUCUUUCUCUUUUAUAUUUGUCUUUUAAUUGUAAUCCAUUGUAAUCCCUAGCAUUGUAAUAGAAUGAUCAAUUAAGGGAAUGAAUGUGUUGAUUUUGGUUGGAGAUUAACUGAUUCUUAUUAUUAACUUCAGUUUAUAUUCCCGCAUUUGAGUGAUUGCAAUUUGUACUCUAUAUCUUGAGUUUCUCUGCUGGUUAUUGGUUGAAGUUGAGAUCUAACCAUAACAAAUGGUAUCAGAGUAGUACGAGAUAUGGGAAAUGGGAGCUCUUGUCAAAAAUUAGGAAGAAAAAUUGAAAAGGUUUGAAAAGAAAUCGAGAGCUAUGAGUGUGAUUGAAAAUUCAUGGGAUCAAAUGUUGAAAAGGUUCUGUACUAGGCAAGAUAGGAUGGAGCAAUUGAUGGAGGAAAUGAACAGAAAAAAUGAAUUGAUCAUUUCAAUGUUGACUAAAAUGGAUGAGGCCAAAUUAGUCUUCAAAGAUCAACCCAACCAUUACAAGUGUUCUAUUGUGGAUAGAGAUGAGAUGCCGAUGGUGGAAGUUGAAAUGUCUGUUUCUGAUAUCGCAGAUAUAGAACACGGUAAAAAGAGUUCAGAAGGGUAGGUUCAUGAAUCAAAUGGUGAUAUAGGAGUUGUUGCAACCAAUCAGUGGAGUCUGCGUAUUUUCCACAUUUUGGGAGAGAAGGACCUAGGGAACGGCUAAGAGAAGCCAUGAAAUAUUUCCAACUUCAUCAAACUCUUGAUGAACUUAGAUUGGGAAUUGCUGAAAAGUACUUGGAAGGGAAGGCUUACAUAUGGUUUUAUGGAUUCAUUACAAACCAUCCUAGGGCGGAUUGGAGUAUCUUCUCUGAAGAGUUGUGUAAGAGGUUUGCUAAGAAUACAGGGGAAGAAGUGUUUAUUGAGGAGAAUACUCGAAUUGAGGUAGCUGAUACAUUGAAAGGAGAGGUUGCUGUUAUAGUAGAAGGCCUUGUGAAAAAUGUUGGGAAUCCUUUUUUGGUUACCAGUGAUGAUUGGAGAACUUCUCAUGCUAUUGAUAAGGAGGUUGGCAUUACACAUGGUAAGGCAGAAGUGAUACCUAUAGGGAAAGCUGAUGCUAUUAUGUCAUUCCAGAAGGGUGGUAAAAUUGUUGGAGAAGGGAAAUUUAAUGCCACACUAAUUCAACUUGGUGAUGUAUUUGAAGUAAUUCUCGAUUCAAAGCCUACAAAUGAAUAUGUAGUUUAGAAUCGGAUUGAGAAAGAUGAAAAUAGAUCCCCUGUAGAUGAAGAGGAAUUUUUUUAGAAAGAACUGAGGUUAGAGGAUAUGACUCCUGAUAAUGGUACCAUAUAUGAGUCUGAAGAGGAGCACAAUGAGACGUGCCAUGAAUUGGGCCAUUUAUCUUUUAUUUUGGUUAGUUGGGCUUGUAUUUUUAUUGGGCUACACCCCUUUACUCUUAGGGUUGUUCUAUAUGAUUUUGUUGGGAUGAUGAAUAAGGGUUGUGAAUGGAUGAAUUAAAUCUUGCCUUGCUACUGAUCGUCUUCUUUCUUCUUCUUCUUCUCUGCUUUCUGUGUUUCUCCCUUUUUGGUAAGCUCCUUCUUCUCCUGCUUGGUCUUCUCUUCUUCUUCCUUGUUUCCUCUCUUUCUUCUCUUCUUUCGGUUCUUCCUCUGCUCUCUUCUACUCUUAAUCUAUUCUUCAAUUCUCUGUUCUUCUAUCUCUGUUGGUCUCUAUCUUUCGCUUUUAUAUUUGUCUUUUAAUUGUAAUCCAAUGUAAUCCAUUGCAUUAUAAUAGAAUGACCAAUUAAGGGAAUAAAUGUGUUGAUUUUGGUUAGAGAUUAACUGAUUCUUACUAUUAACUUCAGUUUAUAUUCCUACAUUUGAGUAAUUGCAAUUUAUACUCUGUAUCUUGAGUCUAUCUACUGGUUAUUGGUUGAAGUUGAGCUCCAACCAUAACAGCUUGAUACAUUCCCACCUCACAGCAUACCACAAGGAAUAGCUUACGUAAAAAAUUAUCUAACAAAUUCUUCCUAGAAAAAAGCAUUGCCUAGUUGAGAGAUGAAUAACAACAUUUUCUCAACUUGGUUCGAAAUAUUACUACGAGUAAUGGAAAGAUGCAGAGGUUGAUAUAAUGGUAAACAAUCAAGCAGUUAAUGCAGUUUAAACGUUUGGGACUAGGUGCAAUAGUUGUGGAGAUGACCGUGAAAGUGUGGACUAUGAUUUGGGUAUUCUAUUCGUCAAGUUAACUAAAAAGGCAAAUUGUAUACAAAACUAUUAGAGACAGCAGAACAAUCCUCACUCCUACACAUACAAUUCAAGGUUGAGAAAUAAUCCAGACUUUUCUUAGAGUAAUGCAUAGUCAUGUUAGAGUGUACCACCAUAGAAUAUGUUGCUGAUUUUUAACGACAAAAAAUAUAAGCUCGAUGAAAAGAGGCAAUUGGUAAAAUAACCAAAGUUGUAACUCAUUUUAUGCAAGAGACUGAAAAAAAGUCUACAAAACCAAGGGAAUGCAAUAAAAAAAUUGAAAAAAAAAUAGAUUGGAUAAAUAACAAAGGCAUUUUCAAAACAUUAGGGACCUUGCUAAGUGACACUAAAAUGAAUCUAAAACAGCUGGUGAUGGCUAUAAAAGUUUUGGUGGAUGAAAUCAUUGAGGAUCUACAUUUGGAAGUAUCAACUCUGGUUUGAGUAUAUGUACAUUGUAUUCCAUAUCAUCAAAGGCUUUGAAAAGGACAAAAGGAAAAAUGGUCUAAAUGAUUACUGAGUUGAGUGGAGUGGAGUUCAGCUUCGAAAAAUUGCGAUUUUUUUGUUAAAGACAUCUACACAUCUCGUGAGUCCUUAAGCUCCAACAAGGAAGGUCGAUUAGGGAUGACAAUUUGAACCGUCAAAAUCGAAAAUCGUAGUUAACCAAACCGAAUGGGGCGAAAAAAAUCGAACCGAUAGUGCAAUGGGGCGGAUAUGAUAUUUGAUUUUAAUGAACCGGUUCAGGGCGGGGUGGGGC
rnacentral:lncRNA from 1 species